CCUACGGGCGGCAGCAGUAGGGAAUAUUGCUCAAUGGGGGAAACCCUGAACCAGCCAAGUCGCGUGAGGGAAGACGGUCCUAUGGAUUGUAAACCUCUUUUGUCGGGGAGCAAACGACGCCACGCGUGGCGUUCCGCGAGUACCCGAAGAAAAAGCAUCGGCUAACUCCGUGCCAGCAGUCGCGGUAAUACGGAGGAUGCGAGCGUUAUCCGGAUUUAUUGGGUUUAAAGGGUGCGCAGGCGGAAGAUCAAGUCAGCGGUAAAAUUGAGAGGCUCAACCUCUUCGAGCCGUUGAAACUGGUGUUCUUGAGUGAGUGAGAAGUAGGCGGAAUGCGUGGUGUAGCGGUGAAAUGCAUAGAUAUCACGCAGAACUCCGAUUGCGAAGGCAGCAUACCGGCGCGCAACUGACGCUCAUGCACGAAAGUGUGGGUAUCGAACAGGAUUAGAUAACCCAGUAGUC
rnacentral:rRNA from 1 species